CACCAGGGAGUGUGCAUGCUCUGUGAACGUAAAGUAUCUUGUGAAAAGAACGCGCAGAGACCACGUGAAGUUUGGCCAGUGUGCGCGACCUCAGCCGGGCGCGUAUAGAUCGCUCGCCUAAAGAAAGACGGCUUUAUUGCCCCAGGUACAAAUAUCGUGGUGGGAAACAAAUAACAUAUUGGACUACAUUUAGUGACUUGGCGCUACGGAACACACAGCCGGAAGGCGAGAGCCCAUUCCCUGCAGACAGAGAGGCCAGCCAAGGCGGGACUCUCCCAGAUGAACCAGAUUGCCAUCACCGGAGUAUUGAUGUUCCUAACCUGUUUCCUUCCUAUUACGUACUCUCUCUCCUCAUGUAUAUACUCCCCUCUCACUGACUUCUUUGGGAAGUGUUGCCAUUUCAUGAUGGGUGAUAAAAAUGACACAGACCUCCUUGGGGACACUGAUGUUUACUCUGCAGUUGUCUCGUGACUGCCUGGGACGAGCGAAAAUGACGUGCAGUCAUGAUGUCUGGUUCUGCCUCUGCCUCUCCGGUAUCCCCCAUCCCGAUCCAUACCAGGUGUUCCGGUGAGCAGCGGACAAUAUAAAAGGAAGAGGAAGAGACAAAGAGUUUGACGUUGGUUGGGACUUGUUGCUAUAUUUUGAGCUUGUGUAUGCUAGACUUUGUGUAUGUCUUUGGGUUUGCCCCUUGACUGAUUGCUGGAUAAUAUGUUUCUUGUAUGUAUAUUGUCCUGUAUAUAGCUACACACUGGUGGUAAGGAGUGGGUGCCAUUUUGUUUGGGUGUGGGUUUAUCUUUGUUUCUAACAGUGUAGUCAUUGUAAAUUUCUUUUUGCUAGCUUAGUCAGUCGGCGUUUUGUUUCUAGUGUAGUUUUGUUUGUUGUGUUGGCCUUGGUCACACAUGACGCGAUUGCACCAGUUUCUUGUCUUUAAACACCAAAAACUUGUAAAUACACUUGCUCUUUGUCUGGUUGUUCA